rnacentral:rRNA from 1 species
AUCAGUUAUCGUUUACUUGAUCGUACAAACCUUACAUGGAUAUCUGUGGUAAUUCUAGAGCUAAUACAUGCGAACAGACUCCGACUCUCGCGGGAAGGAGUGUAUUUAUUAGAGUAAAAACCAAUGGGGAAGCUCGGUGCCGUUCGCGCGGUGCCGUCUCUCGAAAAACAGACGACUCAUGAUAACUUUUCGAAUCGCACGGCCCUGCGUCGGCGAUGUUUCUUUCAAAUUUCUGCCCUAUCAACUGUCGAUGGUACGGUAGUGGCCUACCAUGGUUGCAACGGGUGACGGAGAAUCAGGGUUCGAUUCCGGAGAGGGAGCCUGAGAAACGGCUACCACAUCUAAGGAAGGCAGCAGGCACGGAAAUUACCCAAUCCCGACUCGGGGAGGUAGUGACAAGAAAUAACGAUACGGGGUCUUUACAGGUCUCGCAAUCGGAAUGAGCACAACAGAAAUCCUUUAGCGAGGAUCCAAUGGAGGGCAAGUCUGGUGCCAGCAGCCGCGGUAAUUCCAGCUCCAUUAGCGUAUAUUAAAGUUGUUGCAGUUAAAAAGCUCGUAGUUGGAUUUCGGGGCGGAACGGCGGGUCGGCCGCGAGGCUCGUUUUUACUCGCCGCUCUGUCCUUCUUGUCGAAGCCUGCGUCGUGCUCUUCGCUGAGCGUGACGCACGGGACUCGACACGUUUACUUUGAAAAAAUUAGAGUGUUCAAGGCAGGCUAUACACGAAGCUUGAAUACAUGAGCAUGGAAUAAUGGAAUAGGACUGCGGUCCGUCAUUUCGUUGGUUUCUCGGACCCGCGGUAAUGAUUAAGAGGGACAGUUGGGGGCAUCCGUAUUUCGCAGUCAGAGGUGAAAUUCUUGGAUCCGCGAAAGACGAACUACUGCGAAAGCAUUUGCCAAGAGUGUUUUCAUUAAUCAAGAACGAAAGUUAGAGGAUCGAAGACGAUCAGAUACCGUCCUAGUUCUAACCGUAAACGAUGCCGACUAGGGAUCAGCGGGCGUUCAAAUGUACGACCCCGUUGGCACCUCACGGGAAACCAAAGCGUUUGGGUUCCGGGGGAAGUAUAGUCGCAAGGCCGAAACUUAAAGGAAUUGACGGAAGGGCACCACCAGGAGUGGAGCCUGCGGCUUAAUUUGACUCAACACGGGAAAACCUACCAGGUCCAGACAUGGCGAGGAUUGACAGGUUGAGAGCCCUUUCUCGAUCCCAUGGGUGGUGGUGCAUGGCCGUUCUUAGUUGGUGGAGUGAUUUGUCUGGUUAAUUCCGAUAACGAACGAGACCUUGGCCGGCUAAAUAGUCGCGGUAUUUUCGAAUGCUCAAAGUUCGGGCGACUUCUUAGAGGGACUGUCGGUGUUCAACCGAAGGAAGAAAGGCAAUAACAGGUCUGUGAUGCCCUUAGAUGUUCUGGGCCGCACGCGUGCUACACUGGCGAAUGCAGCGAGUAUCCGAGACCUCCGCCGAAAGGCGCGGGUAAUCUUUUGAAAGUUCGUCGUGACGGGGACCGAUCAUUGCAAUUAUUGAUCGCGAACGAGGAAUUCCUAGUAGAGGCGAGUCAUCAUCUCGCUUCGAUUACGUCCCUGCCCUUUGUACACACCGCCCGUCGCUACUACCGAUUGAACGGUUUAGUGAGAACUUUGGACUGGCCGCGGGUCCACCUUCGCGGGUGUGGCCCCGGUCGGGAAGUCGUUCGAA